UACGUAGGGUGCAAGCGUUAAUCGGAAUACUGGGCGUAAAGCGUGCGCAGGCGGUUCGCUAAGACAGAUGUGAAAUCCCCGGGCUUAACCUGGGAACUGCAUUUGUGACUGGCGGGCUAGAGUAUGGCAGGAGGGGGGUAGAAUUCCACGUGUAGCAGUGAAAUGCGUAGAGAUGUGGAGGAAUACCGAUGGCGAAGGCAGCCCCCUGGGCCAAUACUGACGCUCAUGCACGAAAGCGUGGGGAGCAAACAGG
rnacentral:rRNA from 1 species